AGUGAACGCUGGCGGUAGGCCUAACACAUGCAAGUCGAACGGCAGCACAGUAAGAGCUUGCUCUUACGGGUGGCGAGUGGCGGCCGGGUGAGGAAUACAUCGGAAUCUACUUUUUCGUGGGGGAUAACGUAGGGAAACUUACGCUAAUACCGCAUACGGCCUACGGGUGAAACCAGGGGAUCUUCGGACCUUGCGCGAUUAAAUGAGCCGAUGUCGGAUUAGCUAGUUGGCGGGGUAAAGGCCCACCAAGGCGACGAUCCGUAGCUGGUCUGAGAGGAUGAUCAGCCACACUGGAACUGAGACACGGUCCAGACUCCUACGGGAGGCAGCAGUGGGGAAUAUUGGACAAUGGGCGCAAGCCUGAUCCAGCCAUACCGCGUGGGUGAAGAAGGCCUUCGGGUUGUAAAGCCCUUUUGUUGGGAAAGAAAAGCAGCAGGUUAAUACCCCGCUGUUCUGACGGUACCCAAAGAAUAAGCACCGGCUAACUUCGUG
rnacentral:rRNA from 1 species